rnacentral:lncRNA from 1 species
UUUUGCAAUCGGUUGAUAAAACAGAAAAUAAUUUUUAUAAAGUAAAUAUAAUUAAUACUUAAAAAGUUAUAAAUAAUUUAUUUUGUCGCAUGCAGUUAAAAAUUGUAGUCUUUGAAUGAGUGGGUUAUAUUUGCACCUUAUAAAUAAGUGUAUAAAUGUCAGACGUAGAGAGAUACUGCGGGCGGAGAGAAAGAAUUUAAAAUUUAAAAUUAUAAUCUAACUUCAAUUUUAAAAUUAAAUUCAAAAUAUGAAUUUAAAUUUGAAAUUAGAAUCUAAAACAUAAAUUUAAAAAU